rfam:Gossypium hirsutum cultivar TM-1 chromosome 16, whole genome shotgun sequence
AACCCAUGGUAAGGGCACCUUCUCAAUAUAUCCUUAAACCUCUCCCACGCAUCAUAUAGAGUCUCUAAGUCUAUCUGCACGAAGGAAGAGAUAUCAUUCCUCAGCUU